rnacentral:sRNA from 1 species
CUUCUAUUUAUGAGCAAUAAAAGACACAGCACAGGUAACAGCACCACAAGCUUCCCCACACUGCCUUGCCAAUGUACUUCAACCCUGUUACACCUGAGAGGUGU